AUACGUAGGGGGCGAGCGUUGUCCGGAAUGAUUGGGCGUAAAGGGCGCGUAGGCGGCCCGGUAAGUCUGGAGUGAAAGUCCUGUUUUUAAGAUGGGAAUUGCUUUGGAUACUGUCGGGCUUGAGUGCAGGAGAGGUAAGUGGAAUUCCCAGUGUAGCGGUGAAAUGCGUAGAGAUUGGGAGGAAUACCAGUGGCGAAGGCGACUUACUGGACUGUAACUGACGCUGAGGCGCGAAAGUGUGGGGAGCAAACAGGAUAGAUACCCUGGUAGUCCACACUGUAAACGAUGAAUGCUAGGUGUAGGGGGUAUCGACCCCUUCUGUGCCGCAGUCAACACAAUAAGCAUUCCGCCUGGGGAGUACGGCCGCAAGGUUGAAACUCAAAGGAAUUGACGGGG
rnacentral:rRNA from 1 species